UAUUAUGAUGAAUCUAUUUUAUCACGACGGUCAACUUACAAUAGUUUUUCUGUUUAAAAAACUACUAUUUGAUGAUAACUGCCUGUGACAGGGCAAACAUUUUAACUGAAU
rnacentral:snoRNA from 1 species